CCUACGGGUGGCAGCAGUGGGGAAUAUUGGGCAAUGGAGGAAACUCUGAACCAGCAAUGCCGCGUGAAUGAAGAAGGUCUUCGGAUUGUAAAGUUCUUUAGUCAGGGAAGCAGUCAAUGACGGUACCUGAAGAAUAAGCUUCGGCUAACUACGUGCGAGCAGCCGCGGCAAUACGUAGGGAGCAAGCGUAGUUCGGAAUGAUUGGGCGUAAAGGGUGCGUAGGCGGUUGUACAAGUUAGAGGUGAAAUACCCAGGGCUUAACUCGGGUGCUGCUUCUAAAACUGUAUGACUUGAGGGCAGUAGAGGUUAGUGGAAUUCCUAGUGUAGCGGUGGAAUGCGUAGAUAUUAGGAGGAACACCAGAGGCGAAGGCGGCUAACUGGACUGCAACUGACGCUGAGGCACGAAAGUGUGGGGAGCAAACAGGAUUAGAUACCCUAGUAGUC
rnacentral:rRNA from 1 species